CCUACGGGAGGCAGCAGUGAGGAAUAUUGGUCAAUGGACGCAAGUCUGAACCAGCCAUGCCGCGUGCAGGAAGACGGCCCUAUGAGUUGUAAACUGCUUUUGUACGAGGGUAAACGCAGAUACGCGUAUCUGUCUGAAAGUAUCGUACGAUUAAGGAUCGGCUAACUCCGUGCCAGCAGCCGCGGUAAUCAGGAGGGUUCAAGCGUUAUCCGGAUUUAUUGGGUUUAAGGGGUGCGUAGGCGGUCGGAUAAGUUAGAGGUGAAAUCCCGAGGCUCAACUUCGGAAUUGCCUCUGAUACUGUCCGGCUAGAGAGUAGUUGCGGUAGGCGGAAUGUGUGGUGUAGCGGUGAAAUGCUUAGAGAUCAUACAGAACACCGAUUGCGAAGGCAGCUUACGAAGCUACUUCUGACGUUGAGGCACGAAAGCGUGGGGAGCAAACAGGAUUAGAUACCCCAGUAGUC
rnacentral:rRNA from 1 species